UGCGGAUUUCUUUAUUAUAGUUGAAUACUUCAGUGAAAAUACAAACAUAUCUGAUAAAUAUGCACCCCUCCUGGAAUUCUUCAACAAGUGAAUUGGUUAAAUCUUCAUUUUCCUAUUACAGUUCUUGGCAGUCAAUGUACCAGUUGAAAAUUAAAACCCCCUACUAGAUUUGCCUGUCAAGUCAGUGGAUAAUCACUUGUAUAAUGAAUACGACACUAAGCAUUGAAAUAGAAAGACAAAAUGGGAUCACAGCAACACCUUAGACAAUAAAUUGUCUAUUUCAGAACACCUUACAGGCGAGAGGAAAACCACAAGGACAGAUAAGUAGGUGUUCAAGAUUCCUAUGUUGGUCUCCAGACGGAAAGGGUAUAAAUAAUUCGUCCCUUCCAUCCUUGCAAUAGCCACCGGCCAUCCUCAUCAAUUAGGAAAUCUUUGUGGUAAAGCGUCCUCACUUUAUCAGUUGCUCGCUUCACAAUCUCUCUAUCAAAAGACAACUGCACAAACCCAGCCCUCAAGGUACGGAC
rnacentral:misc_RNA from 1 species